UGGGGGAUAUUGCACAAUGGACGAAAGUCUGAUGCAGCAACGCCGCGUGAGGGAAGAAGGUUUUCGGAUUGUAAACCUCUGUCCUUGGUGAAGAAAAAAAUGACGGUAGCCAAGGAGGAAGCCACGGCUAACUACGUGCCAGCAGCCGCGGUAAUACGUAGGUGGCAAGCGUUGUCCGGAUUUACUGGGUGUAAAGGGUGCGCAGGCGGGACUGCAAGUUGGAUGUGAAAUACCGAGGCUUAACCUCGGGGCUGCAUCCAAAACUGUGGUUCUUGAGUGAUGUAGAGGUAAGCGGAAUUCCGAGUGUAGCGGUGAAAUGCGUAGAUAUUCGGAGGAACACCAGUGGCGAAGGCGGCUUACUGGGCAUUUACUGACGCUGAGGCACGAAAGUGUGGGGAGCAAACAGG
rnacentral:rRNA from 2 species